AGAGUUUGAUCCUGGCUCAGGAUGAACGCUGGCGGCGUGCUUAACACAUGCAAGUCGAACGGGGAUUACACGGAGAUGCGAUUUCGGUCAAAUCAAGUGCAAUCUUAGUGGCGGACGGGUGAGUAACGCGUGGGUAACCUGCCUUGCACUGGGGGAUAACACUUAGAAAUAGGUGCUAAUACCGCAUAAGCGCACGGUCCUGCAUGGGACAGUGUGAAAAACUCCGGUGGUGCAAGAUGGACCCGCGUCUGAUUAGCUGGUUGGCGGGGUAAAGGCCCACCAAGGCGACGAUCAGUAGCCGGCCUGAGAGGGUGGACGGCCACAUUGGGACUGAGACACGGCCCAAACUCCUACGGGAGGCAGCAGUGGGGGAUAUUGGACAAUGGGGGGAACCCUGAUCCAGCGACGCCGCGUGAGUGAAGAAGUAUUUCGGUAUGUAAAGCUCUGUCAGCAGGGAAGAAAGCAAUGACGGUACCUGACCAAGAAGCCCCGGCUAACUACGUG
rnacentral:rRNA from 1 species